GAUGAACGCUGGCGGCGUGCUUAACACAUGCAAGUCGAACGAGAAGUGAAGACGGAAACCUUCGGGCGGAAGGCUUUAUUUCGAGUGGCGGACGGUUGAGUAACGCGUGGGUAACCUGCCUCAUACAGGGGGAUAACAGUUGGAAACGACUGUUAAUACCGCAUAAGACCACAGCACCGCAUGGUGCGGGGGUAAAAACUCCGGUGGUAUGAGAUGGACCCGCGUUCGAUUAGCCAGUUGGCGGGGUAACGGCCCACCAAAGCGACGAUCGAUAGCCGAUCUGAGAGGAUGACCGGCCACAUUGGGACUGAGACACGGCCCAAACUCCUACGGGAGGCAGCAGUGGGGAAUAUUGCACAAUGGGGGAAACCCUGAUGCAGCGACGCCGCGUGAGUGAAGAAGUAUUUCGGUAUGUAAAGCUCUAUCAGCAGGGAAGAAAAUGACGGUACCUGAGUAAGAAGCCCCGGCUAACUACGUG
rnacentral:rRNA from 1 species